GACGAACCGUGCGAGCGUUGUUCGGAAUUACUGGGCGUAAAGGGCGCGUAGGCGGUGUGUCAAGUCAGGCGUGAAAGCCCCGGGCUCAACCUGGGAACGGCGCUUGAGACUGGCACGCUCGAGUUCGGGAGAGGAUGGUGGAAUUCCCAGUGUAGAGGUGAAAUUCGUAGAUAUUGGGAAGAACACCGAUGGCGAAGGCAGCCAUCUGGACCGACACUGACGCUGAGGCGCGAAAGCGUGGGGAGCAAACAGG
rnacentral:rRNA from 1 species